AUUAAUUAAUUGUGCACUGCGAGACACAAAGCAAAAAAGAUUUCUGAUUUUUUUUGUGUGUUUUUUUUAUUUUAUUUUUUUUUUUAUGCACACUUGGCCUGUCUGCCUCCCCCAGUGUUGGUGGCCAUGACGUUAAUCCAGGAGGGACCCUAGCGCAUAUUCCCACCGUGGUGAGGGGACAUGCCCUGGGCAACACUGGCCUUGCAAGUGCCAUUCACAGUGCUGGGCUGGGGCGAGCAAGGCUGUGCUCCGAGGGCACCAGGAGCUGCAAAGGCUUCAGGAACACUUGGAGUUUGCACGGUGUGCUUCAGCUUUGGCAAUUCAUAUAGUGCUGUGCGGGUCCGCAGUCUUUAAAUGCUUGGGUGGAAAGUUUGAGUAUUGCACUAUUAAUGAAGUCUGCACUAGAAAGGAUUCCCUUUCCCUCCCCUGCUCCUGCCCACCCUCCUGUCUCCCCAAGCCCAUUUAGCAGCCACUGUAGCAUGGAGCCUUCAUGCCUUAUGGAAACACAGAGGCGCCAGGGCUCAGGAAAGACCAUGUUAUUAGGGUGACAUUUUGAAAAGAACCUGAUGAUUUUGAGCACAUCUGUGCUACAAGGUGAGUGCCCAAAGACAGAGCUGGGCUUUGUUCAGCCAGGACCAUGCCCAUAUUUCAACUCUUUCAUCAAAAAUGCCAACAAACCUGAAGCAUUAGUUGGUUCAUCUCUGUGGGCUGGAUGAUUAUAAAGAGGAACAGCAGUGAGCUUAUAUAUGGGCUCUUAAGCGUUUUUAAACAGUAUAUGAGUGGGAGAGUGAGUUAUAAAUGGGUAAACUGACAGAUAAUAUCUUACGAGCAGGGCAGGAGGGUGGCUAGAAGUGGUCAUGCUGCUGUUUGGGCUAGUUCUUCAUUCAUCCUAAGUAAAACAAUCAGAAAGUUGUGAAUAACUUUUUAUCUGAGAAAAAAAUAAUAAUUUCAUAAAAUCUGGGUUUAACCACUAAUGACCCUCCCCAGUCCCAAGAGCAGUCAGCCAAGAAAUUCUCAAGACCUUUAAAACUAUUUUGACACACUGUUGCCUCACUUGUACUUAAAACAGAUUUGAGACGCUGGCCCUUUGGCUACAUUUUAUCAGUGAACUUCGGCCAGUUGUUGAUUUGAAUGAUGUGGGCAGUGGUUAUUCAAAUUCAGGGCAGAGGGGAAAUUUGGGGCCAUCGCAGUGCUGUGGUAGUUAAUGAGCAGCAAAAAGCAGAAUGCUGGUCUGGGAGCUGCUCAGUUUUCUUCACCUCCCAGGUGUGUGCCUUCAAAAUUGGAAAGGUGAGGAAGCAGGCUGAACAAGCCCAGGGAACGACAGUGCUGGGCCAGAAACUGUUUGCUGGGUUUGUGUGCCUCUGUGUGUGUGUGUAAGCAGGAGAGCAUAUGGGCACGCACCUGCCAGCGUACACACCUGACUGGUGAUUCACUCUUCAGAUGCCCUUGCUUGCAUGGAAAGUAGUUUUCUGUUAUGUGUGUAGUUUCCUUUAUAUUCCGGUCUUUCUGUGGAAGCUUUUUUUAAGCCUGUGUCUUUUUUUCCAAAUUGUUCAAAGUUGCUAACAGCUUCAUUUUCCCAUUACCACAAUUACCAAUGCCAUACUUGUUUGAGAAGCUGUGGCUUUCAGCUGGGAGAGGACUUUGCCGUAUGAAUUUAGAGCAAUUUCCGCAGCUUUCUUAUAUAAUUAAUGCAGUCAGCUCCUUUUGAUUUAAAGCAGCCAACGGGAACCGCAUCUGCUGCCACAAGUCCCUUGCAGUCACUUCAGCACGUGGGUCUCUUGGAGAGGCUGGUGGCCCAGUCUGGGUGACUUUGAGUGUGUCAUGAGGUUUCCUGGGCUGGUCACCACACAGCAAGGUGACUGGCGUCAUUGCUACGGGGCUGAGGUAUGAAAGCUGCCUUCCUUGCUGGGGUGCAGCUGGAUUUAAUGUUUGCUGGUGGCCCCGAGCCCUGUUGCCAUCUCGCAGGGCAGUGGCUUAGGACCUUGCUCGCUGCAUGUAUUGAUUUUUAUUUUUUUUUUCCCUCUCCCUCUCUUUAGUGAUUGAUUUCCAGGCAGACAUGUAAACUGGGCAGAGAAGCUGUUGUUUUGACUGUGCGUUUCAAUUGCUGGCACUGGGGUGGUUGUGGCGGUGCGGGAGGAGCAGAGCUGAGCACAGCGCAGCCAGUGCAGCCCAGCAGCAACGAGCUGCCCGCUGCUCACUGCCUUUAUGGCUUGCUCCCGUCUUAAGGUCCUUAUUAAUGCUUAAUAGAUAGUUCAACACAGAAACAAUUGAUUUGUUUAUUGCUAUAGACACAAACCAUUUAAUACAUUGUUUAUGGACCUUUUUAUCUACAGUGUGUUCUAUUGAUAGGGCUGUUUGUGAUCUGCUUAUACCCUAUUAAUAAUGCAUUGACCAUAGACAAGGAUGGUAUAGAAAGCGAGAUGUGCUCUUACUCAUGCUCUUUUUGUCUCUCUCUCCCCCUGCUCAACAUAUUGCAUAAAAUGCAAAACAUUUUUUUACUGACUCAUUUAUGCUAGUGUAAAAAAAACCAACAACAAUUAAUUUAUUCUCAUCCCAAUCUAUUGCCCCCAAAUGUCCCAUAGAUUGAGUGGUAUGGAAUUCAUUUAUGGUUCAGUCCACAGGCUGUUUAUGCACUAUGGUAUUACUGCCACAGCUUUAUAAGGGCCAAGGUGGUAGCAGCCAGUACUGUAACUAUGUCAGGAUGGCAAGCAGAGCUAGCUGGCACUGUAGCCCAGCGCUGCCUAAAGCAGCUGCAAAGGGAAAUGUGUAAUAUAAGCAUAGCUGGCGUUUAACACUCCUUCCCCCAUGCAACCCCUCCUUGUCCUCUGCUUAUGCUCCCAGCCUCUGCGUCUUACCGGGGCUUUCCUGGGGAGUUAAAUCAUCAAUGAGUUUGGGAGUUAACUGGGUUAGAAAUGCUCUCUUUAGGAUCGGAGGUCAGUAACUGCCAGGGUUAAAUGGUACCUAUCCUGACUGCAUGCUCAUCCUCAAGGUCUGGAGAUGUUGAUGCUGAAUCAGUUCAGGUUUGCAAGCUGAAUCAAUACAUAUUCUCAGUACAGCAGCAUAAAGUCCCUUCCUUGCCUGCCACAGCAGGGUCUGAGCUGGGUCCCACACCAUGGCCCUGGUGUAGGGGUCCUGCUAGAGCGGUAACGGUGCGGGGGUACCAUUGGCAAAGCGGGGCAACGUGGCAGGACCAGUGUGGCUGGGAGCAAGGGGAGGCAAAGCCUUCAAGGGAGGAAGAAUCUGCAGAGUUGGUGGGCCAUAACAGGGCCAAAGGACGUGCCCAUUAAUGAUAGUUAACAUCACUGCCCAGGGAAGCUGCCCUUGGCUGGGGGCAGGUGGGCUGCCUGAGAUGUGCAGGGUUGAGCCCUGGGCCGCUGCAGGCUCUGCUGGAGCUGCAGCUCCUCCAGCCCACCCUCCUCUCCACAGCCACCUGACGUAGCAGCGAAAAGCCACACUUUUGGUGUUGAAGGACCGAAAGCUUCUUAGUCCAAUUCAGGCUAUUUCACACACUGGCAACAACCAACAGCUCUGUGGUUGGAGUUCACCCCAGUCUUCUUGGACCUCUGCCUGCCUGUGGGCGUGCAACUGAGAUGUGUCCACCACUGCACCGACCGAACCGCUGUCUCUGGGUUGCAGAGCCUCACAGAAAGACUUGCACCUUCAUUGCAGGUAAUACCCAUAAGUCAAGGAAAAUUCCCACUGGGACUCAUUUUCUGGAUGACCAUGUUCUUUCUGCAUGUGAUGUGGGGGUGAGCAGAGACCAUGGACAACUUAAAAAAGAAAAAAAAAAGUUCUUUGUAAAAUUAAAAGCAUCCAACCUUUACAUUUUCAAGCAUCUCACACCAAAACCUACACCAGGCACCCCCAGGUGAAGCAGGACCUGAGCCACCUUGGCAGAACCAAACCCACUGGAGGUGAAAUGGGCUCUUGGGCUGACACGCUGCUCUGGCUGGCACUGCUUCCCUCCACCUGCUGCACCCUCUCCCAUCAGGACGCAUCGGAACACCACGGUUUUCAAAACCCCUGCCCAAAACCAAAGUGCUGGACCUCAGCGGGAGCUGUGGACAGGGUGGCCCAUGCAGCUGUGCAGCCAGAUGUGGGAGCCACAGCCACACUCACCACCUCCCCGAGGUACCUGUUGAUGCUUGGGGCUGGCUCAACUGAAAGCAAAGGAGACGUGGCAAGAGCAAGCGGUCCAGUUCAGAACUCUUUAAUACAAGCUUAUAUUGUUUGUGUUUCCGAUUCUCUGUUCUCCCAACAUCUGGGGACAUUAACCCUCAUAUGUGUGUGAGCAUGUGUAUGAAGAUAUAUACAAAAUCACAUAGUUAAAUAUUUAAGCAUACAAGGUAUUAUAUAUUUAUAUAAUAUAGAACUUUAGGGUAUAGGAAUCAACAAUGGCAAAAUAUUUCUGAUGAAUCUGACGUAACUUUUUUUUGAGUGAAACAUGACCUGUUUUUGAAAGACCAGAGGAAGUUGUUGCUUAUUAAAAGAAAGAGAAAAACCUGUAUAAAGAAAUUCUGUGAAAAUGAUUUAAAAAACAUCAUGAACCAAAAAAAGGUCAACUGUUAAAAACUGUAUUGAAAAAAAAAAUAAAUUAGAUGAACAAUUGUGUAAAUAUAAAUUAAAAAAGAUGACAAUCUUAAUAAAUAAGCUUUACUAUUUACAUCUUUAUAUAUUGCUUGGAGACUUAAAUUAGAUCCGUUAAAAACAAACGAACGCAAAAUAAAACCCGAAAUUGGAGCAGCAAACGUACAGGCGUGAGGUACAGAAUUAAGGGUUGAACUGUAUUUUGCUUGUUUCUUUUUUUUUUUUUUUCUUUUCUCUUUUAUACAGUAGACCAGUAGAAUUUUUGUGAAAAUAGAUCCUCAGCACUUCAUUGGAGUAUUGGUUGACGUGGCUUCCAAAAGGUGCCAAGAAAGA